UGGGGAAUUUUGGACAAUGGGCGCAAGCCUGAUCCAGCAAUGCCGCGUGCAGGAUGAAGGCCUUCGGGUUGUAAACUGCUUUUGUACGAGCGAAAAGGUCUGCCCUAAUACGGUGGGCUCAUGACGGUACCGUAAGAAUAAGCACCGGCUAACUACGUGCCAGCAGCCGCGGUAAUACGUAGGGUGCAAGCGUUAAUCGGAAUUACUGGGCGUAAAGCGUGCGCAGGCGGUUAUGCAAGACAGAGGUGAAAUCCCCGGGCUCAACCUGGGAACUGCCUUUGUGACUGCAUAGCUAGAGUACGGUAGAGGGGGAUGGAAUUCCGCGUGUAGCAGUGAAAUACGUAGAUAUGCGGAGGAACACCGAUGGCGAAGGCAAUCCCCUGGGCCUGUACUGACGCUCAUGCACGAAAGCGUGGGGAGCAAACA
rnacentral:rRNA from 1 species